GGAGGGGUUCCCGAGCGGUCAAAGGGAGCAGACUGUAAAUCUGCCGGCUCUGCCUUCGCAGGUUCGAAUCCUGCCCCCUCCACCA
rnacentral:tRNA from 1 species